ACGGAAGGCAGCAGUGAGGAAUAUUGGUCAAUGGACGGAAGUCUGAACCAGCCAAGUCGCGUGAAGGAUGAAGGUAUUAUGUAUUGUAAACUUCUUUAGCAGUGGAGUAAUAAGGGGAUCGUGAUCCCUGAUGCAAGUACACUGAGAAUAAGGAUCGGCUAACUCCGUGCCAGCAGCCGCGGUAAUACGGAGGAUCCGAGCGUUAUCCGGAUUUAUCGGGUUUAAAGGGUGCGCAGGCGGCUUUUUAAGUCAGUGGUUAAAUCGUGACGCUCAACGUCAUCACGCCAUUGAUACUGGAGAGCUUGAUUGCGGUCGAGGUUUGCGGAAUUCGUUGUGUAGCGGUGAAAUGCAUAGAUAUGACGAAGAACACCGAUUGCGUAGGCAGCAGACCAGGCCGUAAAUGACGCUCAUGCACGAAAGUGCGGGGAUCGAACAGGAUUAGAUACCCUGGUA
rnacentral:rRNA from 1 species